rnacentral:piRNA from 1 species
UGGUGGUUACAGCCAGGCAAGGCUGAUUU